UACGGGGGGGGGUAAGCGUUGUUCGGAAUUACUGGGCGUAAAGGGCUCGUAGGCGGCCAACUAAGUCGGACGUGAAAUCCCUCAGCUUAACUGGGGAACUGCGUCCGAUACUGGAUGGCUUGGAUUUGGGAGAGGGAUGCGGAAUUCCAGGUGUAGCGGUGAAAUGCGUAGAUAUCUGGAGGACACCGGUGGCGAAGGCGGCAUCCUGGACCAAUAUUGACGCUGAGGAGCGAAAAGCUAGGGGGAGCAAACGGGG
rnacentral:rRNA from 1 species